rnacentral:rRNA from 1 species
AUUGAACGCUGGCGGCAGGCCUAACACAUGCAAGUCGAGCGGAUGAAGGGAGCUUGCUCCUGGAUUCAGCGGCGGACGGGUGAGUAAUGCCUAGGAAUCUGCCUGCUAGUGGGGGAUAACGUCCGGAAACGGGCGCUAAUACCGCAUACGUCCUGAGGGAGAAAGUGGGGGAUCUUCGGACCUCACGCUAUCAGAUGAGCCUAGGUCGGAUUAGCUAGUUGGUUGGGUAAAGGCCUACCAAGGCGACGAUCCGUAACUGGUCUGAGAGGAUGAUCAGUCACACUGGAACUGAGACACGGUCCAGACUCCUACGGGAGGCAGCAGUGGGGAAUAUUGGACAAUGGGCGAAAGCCUGAUCCAGCCAUGCCGCGUGUGUGAAGAAGGUCUUCGGAUUGUAAAGCACUUUAAGUUGGGAGGAAGGGCAGUAAGUUAAUACCUUGCUGUUUUGACGUUACCAACAGAAUAAGCACCGGCUAACUUCGUG